AACGAACGCUGGCGGCAUGCCUAACACAUGCAAGUCGAACGAGACCUUCGGGUCUAGUGGCGCACGGGUGCGUAACGCGUGGGAAUCUGCCCUUGGGUUCGGAAUAACAGUUAGAAAUGACUGCUAAUACCGGAUAAUGUCUUCGGACCAAAGAUUUAUCGCCCAGGGAUGAGCCCGCGUAGGAUUAGCUAGUUGGUGAGGUAAAGGCUCACCAAGGCGACGAUCCUUAGCUGGUCUGAGAGGAUGAUCAGCCACACUGGGACUGAGACACGGCCCAGACUCCUACGGGAGGCAGCAGUGGGGAAUAUUGGACAAUGGCGAAAGCCUGAUCCAGCAAUGCCGCGUGAGUGAUGAAGGCCUUAGGGUUGUUAAAGGCUCUUUUACCCGGGAUGAUAAUGACAGUACCGGGAGAAUAAGCCCGGCGUAACUCCGUGCCAGCAGCCGC
rnacentral:rRNA from 1 species